AUAUGUUGCCAGCGGGUUAUGCCGGGGACUCAUAGGAGACUGCCGGGGUCAACUCGGAGGAAGGUGGGGAUGACGUCAAAUCAUCAUGCCCCUUAUGUCUUGGGCUUCACGCAUGCUACAAUGGCCGGUACAAAGGGCUGCGAUACCGUAAGGUGGAGCGAAUCCCAAAAAGCCGGUCUCAGUUCGGAUUGAGGUCUGCAACUCGACCUCAUGAAGUCGGAGUCGCUAGUAAUCGCAGAUCAGCAACGCUGCGGUGAAUACGUUCCCGGGCCUUGUACACACCGCCCGUCAAGUCAUGAAAGUCGGUAACACCCGAAGACGGUGCCUAACCCUUGUGGAAGGAGCCCUAAAAAGGUGGGU
rnacentral:rRNA from 2 species